CGGGAGGCAGCAGUGGGGAAUAUUGGACAAUGGGCGCAAGCCUGAUCCAGCCAUACCGCGUGUGUGAAGAAGGCCUUCGGGUUGUAAAGCACUUUAAGCAGGGAGAAAAAGUUAUAAGCUAAUACCUUAUAACCUUGAUGUUACCUGCAGAAUAAGCACCGGCUAAUUCCGUGCCAGCAGCCGCGGUAAUACGGAAGGUGCAAGCGUUAAUCGGAAUUACUGGGCGUAAAGCGCGCGUAGGUGGUUUGUUAAGUUGGAUGUGAAAGCCCUGGGCUCAACCUAGGAACUGCAUCCAAAACUAACUCACUAGAGUACGAUAGAGGGAGGUAGAAUUCAUAGUGUAGCGGUGGAAUGCGUAGAUAUUAUGAAGAAUACCAGUGGCGAAGGCGGCCUCCUGGAUCUGUACUGACACUGAGGUGCGAAAGCGUGGGUAGCGAACAGGAUUAGAUACCCUGGUAGUCCACGCCGUAAACGAUGACAACUAGCUGUUAGGAGACUAUGUCUUUUAGUGGCGCAGCUAACGUUUUAAGUUGUCCGCCUGGGGAGUACGGCCGCAAGGCUAAAACUCAAAUGAAUUGACGGGGACCCGCACAAGCAGUGGAUCAUGUGGUUUAAUUCGAUGCAACGCGAAAAACCUUACCUACUCUUGACAUACUUGGAAGCUCUUGUAAUGAGAGUGUGCUUUUAAGAACCAAGAUACAGGUGCUGCAUGGCUGUCGUCAGCUCGUGUCGUGAGAUGUUCCGUUAAGUCGGAUAACGAGCGCAACCCUUACCCUUAUUUGCCAGCGAUUCGGUCGGGAACUAUAAGGGGACUGCCGGUGAUAAACCGGAGGAAGGUGAGGACGACGUCAAGUCAUCAUGGCCCUUACGAGUAGGGCUACACACGUGAUACAAUGGGAGAGACAGACGGACGCUAAGCCGCGAGGUGGUGCUAAUCCUAGAAACUCUCUCGUAGUCCGGAUUGGAGUCUGCAACUCGACUCCAUGAAGUUGGAAUUGCUAGUAAUCGCGGAUCAGCAUGCCGCGGUGAAUACGUUCUCGGGUCUUGUACACACCGCCCGUCACACCAUGGAAGUGGAUUGCACCAGAAGUAGAUAGUCUAACCUUAGGGAGGGCGUUUACCACGGUGUGCUUCAUGACUGGGGUGAAGUCGUAACAAGGUAGCCGUAGGGGAACCUGCGGCUG
rnacentral:rRNA from 1 species